GACGAACGCUGGCGGCGUGCUUAACACAUGCAAGUCGAACGAUGAAGCCUUUCGGGGUGGAUUAGUGGCGAACGGGUGAGUAACACGUGGGUAAUCUGCCCUGCACUCUGGGAUAAGCCCGGGAAACUGGGUCUAAUACCGGAUAUGACUUUCUUACGCAUGUAGGAAGGUGGAAAGUUCCGGCGGUGCAGGAUGAACCCGCGGCCUAUCAGCUUGUUGGUGGGGUAAUGGCCUACCAAGGCGACGACGGGUAGCCGGCCUGAGAGGGCGACCGGUCACACUGGGACUGAGACACGGCCCAGACUCCUACGGGAGGCAGCAGUGGGAAUAUUGCACAAUGGGCGAAAGCCUGAUGCAGCGACGCCGCGUGAGGGAUGACGGCCUU
rnacentral:rRNA from 1 species